AGCUUUGCGCAGUGGCAGUAUCGUAGCCAAUGAGGUUUAUCCGAGGCGCGAUUAUUGCUAAUUGAAAAACUACAGAGGCAACGUACUCAAAACAUGUGAUACUAGCACAAACGCAGACAUGUAGGUAAAUGGAAUAGAAUAGGUGGACCAGAUAAAAGCCU
ensembl:snRNA U4 U4 spliceosomal RNA